GCGUGGGUGGUUUAGUGGUAAAAUCCGUGCUUGCCAUGAGCGAGUUGCACGGGCCCCGAGUUCGAUUCUCGGUCCACGCA